UUGUCAUCAUGUACAGCCUGCAUCAUGAAACAUGCCGAAACAAAUUGUUGCUAUUGUAUAGUUAUUUUUCUGUGGUUCCGAAUACUGAAUUGAACUUCGUUUUUGUAGGUUAAGUUAAUCCUGACCUAGUUUCCUUAUACUUUUAUAUUACAUCCAUUUCUUCAAUUUGUAGAAAGUAAGUCCGCCAUUCCAACAAGUUGACUUAGUGCUCAGUCAAUUUCCAUCCAUUAGAUCCUUAUGCUGUCAAAAGCCUGGAACUCUUAUUUGAAUCCCACAUACAGUGGCAUUAGACAAAAGUUAUUGCGCAUGGACCGUGGGAUCUUUUCGGAAUCUUGCAAGUGUAACCUGUGUCAGAAUGUUUGUCGAGUGUACGACUGUUUCUAGAGCCAUUCAGAAUUCAACCCAGCUGAGAGAUAGUUCCAGUUUCAGUGAAUGUACAUGAAGAGUGUGAAGUGUAUUUAGUACAUUUACCAGGUCUGCUUGAUGAAAGUCAAAUGCCUUACUGCAUUUGUCACCCAAAUGAUAAAGAAAUAUUUGUGACGUCCCCUGAGAUCGCGAGUCGGCCGCCAGUUUCAAUCUACAACGCAGUUUCUUCAUGGAAUCGUGAGGUCCGGGCACGGAGAUCCUUGAGCCAACGCUGGCCAUGACAGAAGAGGGACUUCUACCAACGUUCGGAUCCUUAUCUUCACGACGUACGCUGCUUCUUGUGCUUCACUGGCGAAUUAAAUCACUUCAGUGUUCGCUUCCGUCCGCUGUGAAAUACCUGCAGUCACUCACCACGGGAUUAUGCCAAGGUAAUGCAGAAGAGACGUCGAGAAGAUGGAUUUUCUCAUCUUUUACAAUCGUCACCAGUCUCCGUCGGAUGUUGCCCCUGCUUCUGCAUGGUGCGAACGAAACUCGGUGGAAUCGCGGCCGACGCCGUGACUCGUCAUCAACGUGGAUCAUCGUAUUGUUGGUAUUAUUGCGUUAGUGUUAGUUAACCCGUUGGCUGCCACACCUUUGUUCUCCCCUGCACGGGCCGCGCUGUUCGGUCUUGUGGUUUAAAAGCCGCGGGGUCGGAGAGUCGCCAAGCCCAAAAUUUGCCGCUAGGCAAGCCUGUUAAAAGGCAAUGCACCUUAGUCCCCCCCUUGUCAGCACGGACUUGUCAGCAAUGGCAAGUCCCACUUGGUCAUGGAUCCUUCAGACGUGGCGCGUAGAGUAGUAGAGAGCAACCUACGGGUUGUAUGGCGUGGCAGC